GUCGAGAAUCUUUCACAAUGGGGGCAACCCUGAUGGAGCGACGCCGCGUGGAGGAUAAGGUCUUCGGAUUGUAAACUCCUGUCAUGCGUGAACAAGGUUGCUUGGUUAAUACCUGGGCAAAUUGAUGGUAACGCAAGAGGAAGAGACGGCUAACUCUGUGCCAGCAGCCGCGGUAAUACAGAGGUCUCAAGCGUUGUUCGGAAUCACUGGGCGUAAAGGGUGCGUAGGUGGCGUGGUAAGUCAGAUGUGAAAGCCCGGGGCUCAACCUCGGAACUGCAUCCGAUACUGCCAUGCUAGAGUACUGGAGAGGUGACUAGAAUUCUCGGUGUAGCAGUGAAAUGCGUAGAUAUCGAGAGGAAGACCAAAGGCGUAGGCAGGUCACUGGACAGUUACUGACACUGAGGCACGAAGGCCAGGGGAGCGAACGGGAUUAGAAACCCUGGUAGUCC
rnacentral:rRNA from 1 species